rnacentral:rRNA from 1 species
UACAGAGGUCCCAAGCGUUGUUCGGAUUCAUUGGGCGUAAAGGGUGCGUAGGCGGCGUCGUAAGUUGGAUGUGAAAUCCCCGGGCUUAACCUGGGAACUGCAUCUUAAACUGGUAAGCUGGAGUACUGUAGAGGACAGUGGAAUUUCCGGUGUAGCGGUGAAAUGCGUAGAGAUCGGAAGGAACAUCAGUGGCGAAGGCGACUGUCUGGACAGAUACUGACGCUGAGGCGCGAAAGCGUGGGGAGCAAACAGG